rnacentral:rRNA from 1 species
CCUACGGGUGGCAGCAGUGGGGAAUAUUGGACAAUGGGGGGAACCCUGAUCCAGCGACGCCGCGUGAGUGAAGAAGUAUUUCGUUAUGUAAAGCUCUAUCAGCAGGGACGAAAAUGACGGUACCUGACUACGAAGCCCCGGCUAAAUACGUGCCAGCAGCCGCGGUAAUACGUAGGGGGCAAUCGUUCUCCGGAUUUACUUGGUGUAAAGGGAGCGUAGACGGUGCAGCAAGUCUGAUGUGAAAGGUCGGGGCCCAACCCCGGGACUGCAUUGGAAACUGUUGAACUGGAGGACUGGAGAGGAAAGCAGAAGUCCUAGUGUAGCGGUGAAAUGCGUAGAGAUUAGGAGGAACACCAGUGGCGAAGGCGGCUUACUGGACUGUAACUGACGUUGAGGCUCGAAAGCGUGGGGAGCAAACAGGAUUAGAUACCCGGGUAGUC